GCCGUUUCCGGCCCUGGGGAGGCGCUGUGCCGCCGCUGGCUGCGGCCCGAGCGGCGCUCCAAGGAGCAGAUGCUGGAGCUGCUGGUCCUCGAGCAGUUCCUCAGCCUCCUCGCGCGCCCUGCACCCGACCUCCCCGUAGGCCACCCCAAUCAAGGCCGAGGCUGGAUCUCCCACCCGGGGAGAAUGGCAGCAGCUGGCCUUGGACCCCCAGAAUGGCUCGUGCGAGGAGAGCACGGAGGACUACGGGAGCACGGCCAUGUUGGGCCUGGAGAACCAAGCUGCCUGGAACCCCGACCUGAUCCCAAAGCCUGCACAGGCCUGGGUACAAGGCGUGCCCCCGGGGACAGACCCUGACAGGGAAGAGAAACCACCUAAAGAUGCUGUACUGCCACUGCCACAGACCCAGGGUUCUCCAGGAGAGCCAGGGGCCACGGCAACCUUACAUGUCCCUUGGGCGCCCAAGGAGGAACGGCUUUGGAGAAGUGGAGAGCCGGGGCACACGACCACCUUGCACACCCUCUGCGGGGCCAAGGAGGAAGAACUUUGGAGACGUGGAGAGCCAGGAUGCACGGCCACCGCCCACACCUUCUGCGGGGCCAACGUGGAAGGACUAAGGAGAAGUGGAGAGCCAGGCCCCACGGCCACCUCGCAGGUUUCUGUGAGGUCAAGAAGGAAGAGCUUUGGAGAAGUGGAGAGCCAGGGUGCACAACCACCUUGCAGGUCCCCUGGGGGGCCAAGGAGGAGGGGCUUUGGAGAAGUGACGACUUUGGGGAGGUUGCCACUGCCCCUGCCCUUGCUGGAGACAGCAGAACCUGCUGAUGGCUUUGGGGAGGUUGCCACCGCCCCUGCCCUCACUCAGUAUCAACUGUGCCACUUUUGUUAAGUGGUCCCCGCUGGAGAACAAGUUUGCUGUGGGGAGUGGAGCUCGGCUCAUCUCCUCAGUCUGCUACUUUGAGUCUGAAAACGACUGGUGGGUGAGCAAGCACAUUAAGCCAAUUCUCUCCACAUUCCUCUCCUUGCCUGGCACCCCAACAACAUUUUGCUGGCUGCAGGGUCAUGAGACUUCAAAUGCAAGUGAGGAUACAUGGGCACUGCCUGUUGCUCAGCAUUGACAGGUACCCAUUGGGCUCCUUUAUUUGCAAAGUACAGUAACCUGUGAGCAGCUCAGCGAUAAAGGGAAUUUCCUGUUCUAGAAAAGGAGCUGAGGCUCAGCAGGUAGAGAACUUGCUGAGCUGGUUACCGUCCCCCAGCACUGCAGAAGCCCGGCAGGUGCUGCACACCUGUAAACCCAGCACUGAAUGUGGAGCUAAGAUUAGAGGCUCAGUUACAGACCGAGAUUGAGGGCAGCCAAACUAUAUGAGACCCUUUCUCAAGAAAGAGAAAAAGAACAAGUGAAUUGGUGCACAGUGAUGGACAGAGAAAGUAGCAGAAGACAUGAUGGACUCAGCCAUAGGGUUAGCAGGAGCUGCAGCAGGUCGUUGGGCACAGCAGCCUGGCCAGUACAAUGAGGGAUCUUAGGCAGAGUCGGUAGUCUUAAGUGCAGGGUGAGCUCAUGCUAUGUCCACCCAUCCAUCUCUCUCUCAGCCUCUCUUCAGUUAUUAAGUCAGUUGAUUUUAUUUAUCUCUGUGCAUGUGGGUAUGCACGCCUGGCAAAGGCCAGAAGGGGUAAGAGAUGCCCAAGAGCUAGAGAUGGUUGUGAGCCACUUGAUAGAGGUGCUGGGAGCCCAACCUAGUCCUCUAGAAGAGCAGCAAGUGUGUCAACCACUGAGCCAUCUCUUCGAAUCAGUUCUCUGGGUUUUGAUGUGACAAGGAGUUGGAAGCAUGAAGCCCAGGUUGGUCUGGAGCUCACCAUCCUCCCUCAGCUUCUUGUCCUAGAAUUACAAGUCUGCACCUUCAUGCUCACCAGCCUCUUUCUUGGACCGUUGCAGGUCCUCAUUUUGUGUCCCAGGCCACAGACUGCAGAGAACAGUGAACCUGACUUUAGCCACGUGUCCCUGAGGGUAUCUAGACAAAACAUUCUUUCUGUCUUUAGCCCGAGGCUAGAGGAGACUUGCCACCCUGUUAGAGCUUUACAUCAGCAGCAAACUUGCGGUUACAAAGCAACAAUGGGAAUAAUUUUCUGGGGCAGGGCACCACAGCUCGAGGAAGGUUGGGACCUACCAGCCCAUGUAAAAAGUUUCCAGAAAACCAGCCUUGUCGUUUAUACUCAGGCCUAAUUACAAAAUGAAUAAGGAAAGGAAAACAAAAAACAAAACAAAACGGGCAGUGUUGCUCAGUGGUCCAGCGUUUGCCAGGUUCAAUGCUCAGCACCAUGAACAGAAAACUAAGAAGAAAAAUCUGGGUGGUGGAGGUGGAGCUAAGGUAAUCUUGGGGGUCUGUGCUCAGGAGUUUGUGGUCUGUUAUUUUUCCAGAGUCCCCUGGCUGUCCCAGCAAAUAAGACAGAACGGGACUGUCUGGGUACGUUCACAGUUGCCCAUGACCCCCAGGCAGGAGAAGCCAACACCUCUAACCCUGCAGACCCUCAGCUGCCGCCAUCAUUUGGAAGUUGGGCUUAGGGAGCUAGAGGUUUGGUUUGGUUUGGUUUUGAAAACAGGGUUUAUCUGAGUCACUCUGUAGCACAGGCUGGCCUCGAACCCACAGAGAUCCCCCUGCCUUCGCCUCCCCGAGUGCUGGGAUUAAAGGCGUGCAGCCCAGAGUUGUUUAAAGAGUCUUGAGGUUCAGGCUUCUCUUCCUCCUCUACUCCUCCUUUUCCUCCUUCUCUUCCUCCUUCUCAAAUCUUCCUUGCCUCCUCCUCAACUUCUCCUCAUCAUCUUCUCCUCAAGUCUUCCUCCUCGACUCCUCUUCCUCCUCCUCCUCCUUCUCCUCCUCCUCCUCCUCCUCCUCCUCCUCCUCCUCCUCUUCUUCUUACUCCUCCUUGACUCCUCGACUCCUGGUUUUCCUGCCUUGGCCUCCAGGGGCCACACCCACGUUCAGAUGCUUCCCAGAGAGUCAGAAGAGGCCAGAGUAGGCAGAUUCCGGCCCUUUCCUGUCCCUCAACCUCCUAAGGCCUCAGAGAUGACAGUGGAGCUGAGGUGGAGAGCAGGCCUCCCUCUCUCAGCCCUUUGUUGUGUAUCUUCACCUCUACCUUUAUUUAUCUGUGUGUGAGCGCCCAAGACCUGUGUCCACCCAGCUCAGUGCCUGGAUUCCAGGUGCAGGCUGCCAUCUCUGGCUCCCUGUGGGUGAUGCGGAUCCGAACUGGGGUCCCUGUGCUGGUCCAGCAAGCACAUCCCUAGCUGGCCUUUUCUGCAUCUGCCCAUCCUAAACCACCUCCUUCCCCACUCUUUCUACAACCGAGUGUUCUCAGCCUACAUCAAGGAGGUGUGCGAGAAGCCUGUCAGCCAGCUGAUGGCCGAAUUAGGCAGCAGCGGUGCCAGCAGCUGGUGCACGGCGUCAGCUUCUCCACCAGCUGGUGCCGCCUGGCCUGGGUCAGCCACAACAUCACAGUGUCUGUGGCCGACUCCUCCAAGAGCAUUCAGUGAGUCCUCGCCUGGCUGGCGGGGGGAGGCAUUGGAGGGUACAGUUAGGGAUCUGUACACGCUGGCCCUACAUGGCAGCGAGGGGUCUGGACACGCUGGCUCUCCUUGGCAGCUAGGGGAAGUGUAUACAGCUGCGGCUGGAGGCUCCGGAGUUCAAGGCCAGCCUGGUCUCUGUCCCAGAAGACCAGAGCUGAAGCUGCUGCCACCACCCGGCACACACGCCCUCAGCUCCUUCCCCUGACACCACCCCAAACAGGACAGGAGCCAUCUUCCUCCUGCCUUCAUACCGCCCCAGGUCUGCAAGGAGAGCCCGAAUGGUGCUUUGUCACCAGACUGCAGUGAAGGUGGCAAGGGAAGAAGCCCGGAGUCCCCUUUCAGGCGGCUUGGCACUUGCCCUCCCAUGGGCAUCCUGGGAACGUGCACGGGGGAUGGCCUCCUCCUGGCCACCCCAUGAGGAUGCAUGGUGUGGACAGAUCCGGUGUAGUCUUCCCCGUGCUGACUCUACUAGUUCUCUUUUGAAAGGGUUGCCAUGGCAGAACUGUGCUCUGGGACAGCUUUGCUGGUAUCAAGCUUUUAUUUUGUUUUUUGUUUGUAUUUUGUUUAGUUUUUAAAUUAAAUUUUUAUUUUUAUAUUAAUUAUA